rnacentral:misc_RNA from 1 species
CCCUUGUGGAGGAGGACGCCGAAGGUGGGGCUAAUGACUGGGGUGAAGUCGUAACAAGGUAGCCGUACCGGAAGGUGCGGCUGGAUCACCUCCUAACAGGGAGACAACAAAAUGUUUAAUAUUAUUAUUUUGUCACCUUAGGUCGAUCGGUAUCUCACGUUCUUAAUUUAUUAAGAAUUUCAUUUUCUAAGUUUUUCUAGGUCACACCCAUUAUUUUUCCUGGGCCAUUAGCUCAGGUGGUUAGAGCGCACCCCUGAUAAGGGUGAGGUCCCUGGUUCAAGUCCAGGAUGGCCCAUAUCUCUAUGUUGGGGGUAUAGCUCAGUUGGUAGAGCGCCUGCUUUGCAAGCAGGAUGUCAGCGGUUCGAGUCCGCUUACCUCCACUGAUUACCACCUCUUCCAUAACCGGUAGUAAAGGAAAUGUUUUUGGUUGUGAUCAAAUUCUGAAAGAAUCUAGCUUCCUAAUGAAAUCAUUAAGAUGCUGGACUCAUUGAAUUAAUUUCAUUGUUUUCAGAGAACCUUGACAACUGCAUAGAUUAUUUUUAAAGACAAUAAGCAUCUUUAAUGAUGCAGAUUUAUUAUUUGUGCGAAUGCAUUAAUAACAAUUCUAUUAAGCUGAUGCUUCAAUUUUUGAAGUUAUUGGUCAAGCUACAAAGGGCUCACGGAGGAUACCUAGGCACACAGAGGCGAUG